AAGUGACUGGGUUUGAAAUUCCACGUGGGUGCCUGGGGGAGUGUGCACUUGUCAGAGGACAAAAGCCCUCGACGCUCUUGCGUUCACUCAGUAGCCAUGGUUCACGCGCCCCACGGCAAGUGCUGCGAGGGGGAGAGACACAGGGAAAUGGCCCUGAAAUGGCACAGGGAGGUGCCCAGGCUCCGAGCAGCCCGGAGGACUCUGGAACCGUGGGGAAGCUGCCGGUAUGGAGCCCAGUGAGCUCCUGGAACAGCACUACCGCUCCCCAAGACCUCCACCCACUUCAUCGCUUAUGGCACCUGCUGCGGGGUUAGGUGCCUGUCCACCUGCCAGGCAACCUAGUUCAAGCUGUUCCUCCAAUCACAUGACCCUGCAGACCAGCCCUGUGCCCUACCAGGCGGCGCCAGCCACCCCAGCUCACUUCUGGUGCCCUCAGGAGGAUUUUGUCCAGUUGUUUGAGGCUGGCAGAGGUUUGUUGGGACACAGGGGGGUGUACAACAGGCCCCCCUGAGCCAUUUCUGUUGAAGAGGUGUUUACUUGCCCUCCCAAUUAGUUCCCAAGAGACUGGAAGUGUUGGAGUCUUGUUAGGAAAAGUGUGGAUAAACUGUAAACGCCUGAGAAAGGUCUUUGGGCUGAAGGCUUUCUGGUGAUGGUGGCCAAAGGGUCCUCCCAGGCUGGCACCCCACAGCGUGCAGAGCAGUCUAGUCCACAAAAGGAGCCACACUCGCUCAUGUGUCCCCACAUCAACCAUCCCCAAAACCGGACUCAAGGGCAGAAGUGUCGUGGCAGCGUCUCUAAGCAGCGCGGGCUAAUGCAGAGGCCGCUGCAUUUACCUGGGGUGCCGCGCACAGCCCAGACGUGCUGGGGAGUGAGCGAUUCUGGGGUUGGCCCUUUAGAAGUGCUGGAGGUGUCAUGUGAAAUCCUAACUCGGGGGCAGCCUCCCCAGGAAGCAGGCCGGGUCUAGGGGGCUAGACUCUUUGAUUUUUAACUAUCCAAUGCAAUUCUGCAAUAGAUAUUGGAGAGUGAAUUUUAAACUGCUGUGUUCAUUAGCUUGCCUCUCAAUUAUCAGCAGAGCUUUUGGCAGGACGGAAGUUGAUUUAUGUUUGUUUGCAUGGAGGGGCCCCUAAAAUCCCACCCCGCUUCAGCCUUGGACAGUCCUGUGCCUUUUCUAACAGAUGGAGUGGAACAAGCUGAGUCACCCCACGCCGGGCCCGCUUGGGAACGCCGGGGUGGGGGUACUGCUCGGCUGACCCUCGGGUUUGGGUUUGCUGAGCAGGGUGGACAGGCCAACAAAGGGGGUCUACCAAGGUGCUGGGUCAGGGA
rnacentral:lncRNA from 1 species